ensembl:lncRNA
ACCGAUUGAGACUCCUUCAUCCACUGCCCUUGCUUUCCAUCCCAUGCUCAAAGUAGUCGAAGGACUCAUACACUGGUACCUGACACUGUCCGAGGGAAAGAGAGACAUGUCAAAAAUUAUAUUAUCAUAUUAAUGAUGGAGUUAAACGAUGGACAUAUUUUUUAUUGAGAAUCUGACCUAAGGGGAACACAAAUCCCGCUCCAAUGAUGUCAAUGUUCCAACUCCUCAAAUAAUUUUUUUUCGUUGCGUGCACGGUAGUACUGCUAUAUUAUUAAAUAGCGAGAGUUGUGGUUCCUCUUUAAGGAACAGGUAGGGCCGGGGUUAUGAUAUUCUUGCUGAGUGAUGCCUACAGGUUAGACUGGGGACAUUGGGGAUCAAACCCGGUACUUUCUGGCUGGGAGUGGAACCCCCUAGCCCUCCGACAGACUCACCCACUGGGAGGACCCUUUGGACGAGCUGGUGCUGGUUCCGUCCACCUCAGAGUCUCCAUGGGGAACCUCAUAGAUCACCCUUGCUGCUUGGUCCAACCCUAACACACACACACACACACACACACACACACACACACACACACACACACACACACACACACACACACACACACACACACACACACACACA